ACACACCCGGAAGGGUUUCCCUGACACACUGGCUGAGGUGCCCCAGUUCCCCGAGACUGGCCGGGAUCACUUCCGGUGGGGAAAGUCCCACCUCUCCGGGGCGAGCCGGGUGGCGCUGGGGCCGCGCCCUGCCGAGCAAGGCGGCCGGGGACGCUCCCGGGUCGGGGCCGCGGCCUUGGCAUAGGGCCUCGCUGAGGAGCUCCGGCGGCCUCCCUCUUCCCGCCCGCUGCCGCCGCCGUCCCACCCCGAACCCGCUGCAGCCCCUGCGCGUCUCCGCGGCCUGAGGACUCGAGCGGCUGCUUGGCCGGAGCGGGAGGGCCGGCGAUCAUCUAGCCGCCGGGAGAGCGCCAAACAUCCCUGGACUAGAAGUGACGAGGAAAAUAAAGCAGCCAAGAAAGUUUAUUCUCUUUGCUGGUAUUUCUUCCACUUGACGCUUGCCUGAGAAACGCGUGCGAACUCCCUCUAGACUUCGCUAUUGCACGGCUUUCGUCGGUGAUGGCUUUUACUUAGCCGUGCCUGACAAAUCAUUAAACACACACGGUACUUUUAUCAUCCGGCAGAUCUGCUCAACUCCACCAGCAAAUGCCAGAGUCACCCCUUUCCUUCGUAUCACAAGGCUCAAAAACAACAGGAGUAGAAAUACACUUUAUCUGACAGUAACUCAGCUUUGCCCCCCUAUUUGAUUCCAACCGCUACACAGCAGGAAAGAUUUGAGCUUAAAUGUCUUGUCUUUGAGGAUGCCACCCUUCAGUGCUUCAGGGAAGAUGAAAAAACCGAGGUCCAGAAAAGUUAUGUGGCAUCGUGAUAGAAAUCAGGAUCUUCCUUCAAGUUUGCCAAGGAUCAUAAAAGAACCCUUUUCUGUAGCGCGUUGAAGAAGUUCUUGUGCAGUGAGCAAUGUACGAAACAUUAGUACAAUUUAUUUUCUCUUUUUUUGGUAUUGCAACACCGUUUGAACCAACCAGCCAGAGCGCACCGUUGCCUUCCACACUUGCCUGCCAGAGACUAAUGUAAUAAAACUGACAUUUCAUUUAUUUGACACCUGUUUCUCAACAAUAACCCUUCUGAAUUUGCCAGUUAGCCACACGAGGGUUUCCCCUCUUUUGUUGUGUGGUUGGUUGGUUUGAUGGAGCUUCAAGUUGUUUGACUCACAGUGCAUAUUCACCUUGGUUGCUGAUAAAAGUUAUUUUAAAUAGUCUCCAGGCUUCUCAAUUUUUUUUUUUCACAGCCAAGGAAAUAGUAACUAGCCAACCCGAGGUAAUUAAUCAUUCUGGACUGUUUUCUUAUCUUUCACCUGGGGAUAAAAAUGUUUGCCUUGCCUUUCCUCUCAGAAUUGAUGGACGGUCUGAAUGCAGUAAUGUCACUGAAUGGACGUUGAAGAAAUAUAAUGCAUGGUAUAAAACAGUAUUGUUUUUUUCACAUCAAUUAUGUGAUUGACUAACCACUAAGCCAAUGUGUAUUUUGAUGUAAUUAGAUCUAGGUUCUGGGCUGGCUCCAGAGAAAGAUUACUUUCUUUGUCUUAGCUCCAGAAAACAGAAGAGGGUCGUGCAUCACCAAAGGCCAGGCCCUGAAAGAUCUCCACUACUCACUGUCAAAAGCAUUUGAUUAUAUUUCACAAUGUAUACAAAUAUCAAAUCAUUAUGUUGUACACCUGAAACAAAUGUCAUGUUACAUGUCAAUUAUAUCUCAAUUAAAACAGGUCAAAAACUGCAAAGUACAGUUUUGAGUUGAGAAGCUUUCUUAAAAUCUAGAUUGUAGCUGUCUCACAAAAAGAUAUAGAAUGCUGUACGAGGCUUGCUUUAUGUUAUAUUGCAAGCUAAUAGAAGUUGAAAUUGGUAAAACAAAACAUCAAAAAUUCCCCGAAACUCCCAAACCCAUUCAAUUAGGUGGUUUACAGCAAUGAACCAAAUGGGGAGAACCAGGGGAGGGAGCAAAAGACCUCUCUGCAAGAAGUGGGAGGCCUUUCAGCCCUGAUCCUUGCCCACUCUUUGAAGAUAGGUGAGGCUCUAGUGCAU